rnacentral:rRNA from 1 species
UGCAUGUCGACGAGGUGCUUUGCACCUAUUGGCGAACGGGUGAGUAACACGUAUCUAACCUACCUUUUAGUGGGGGAUAACAGUUGGAAACGACGGCUAUUACCGCAUACGACACCUUUAUGGCAUCAAAAGGUGUUAAAAGGCCCGUUUGGGUCGCUAGAAAAUGGGGAUGCGGCGUAUUAUCUAUUAGGUGGGGUAAUUGCCCCCCUAGGCAAUGAUACGUACCCAAACUGAAAGGUUGAUCGGCCACAUUGGGACUGAAAUACGGCCCAAACUCCUACGGGAGGCAGCAUUAGGGAAUUUUUCACAAUGGACAAAAGUCUGAUGAAGCAAUGCCGCGUGAGUGAUGACGGUCUUCGAAUUGUAAAGCUCUGUUGUAAGGGAAAAAUAGGUAAAAAAGGAAAUGUUUUUAUUUUGACGGUACCUUACCAAAAAGCCACGGCUAACUAUGUGCCAGCAGCCGCGGUAAUACAUAGGUGGCAAGCGUUAUCCGGAUUUAUUGGGCGUUCAGGGUGCGUAGGCGGUUCGAUAAGUUUGAGGUUAAAUCCCGGGGCUCAACCCCGGUUCGCCUUGAAAGAUGUCUUACUAGAAUACGGGAGAGAGUAGGAUGGAAUUCCAUGUAGUAGUGGGAGAAAUGCGUAAAAUUAAUGGAAGAGACCACUAGUGGCUUAAAGCGGUCUAACUGGCCCUGUAUUUGACGCUGAGGCGCGAAGGCGUGGGGAGCAACUAGUAUUAAAUACCCCUAAGUAGUCCACGCCGUAAACGUUGAAUUACUAAGUGUCGGCUUUUAUUCAGUAGCUGCAGCUAUCGCAU